rnacentral:lncRNA from 1 species
UCUUAAUAUAUCAGUGUCGUAAUCAAGGAUGGAGUGAAGGUUAAACUUAUCUAUGCUCAAGUGUUUUUGCUACAUUUUAUAUGUAGAGUGAGGAGAGUAGUAUCCCAUGGCUAUUUGUUGCAGUCUGUUAAGUAAUACAACAUAUUUCUGCAAAGUAAUUGCUAAACUAAUGGGAAAAUAAGAGUGUGCAAAUUAAUUAUGAUGGAUUCUCAUUAUUCAUACAUCUCAAUUCAACUUUCUUUUCAUUCACACCUUAUCAUGAAUGUGCGACCAGUCCACCCAGCUGAGACCAUUAAACCAAGUGAUUUAUUUCAUGUACACGCUGAUAACUAAUUUUAGAAGGUUUUGACACAUUCAUUAAUAUGUGAUGCUGUGAAGCCAGAUAUUGAUGAACCACUUGUCUGCCUCAUCUUCUUUGUCAUCUCUGCAGCUUGGACACUACAAAAACGCGAUUCCGGGGUUUUGUCCACGCCGCCCUGCGUCGCCUCCCUCUGCCGUGUUGUUUUAGACACAAAGGACGUAGUGAAGGAGAACAAACACUGCUGACCUUUUCCAGGUCCAGUUAUUUGAUGCGUGCAUGGAAAGCGAGGCGAGGCAGCGACACUGAAGCCCAUGCUUCCCAGCAUCCCUUUCUCUCCACGUUCCCGCCUCGGCGUCCAAGAGCCUGGGCCUCUGGCUGUGUAACCAUGACAACCAAAUGAGUGUUUACAGAUGAGCCUCAUGAAAAGACGAAAUGAGCCAGCCAUGACAAGACAUUCAUCAUUGUAUGAUUAAAGAUGGAGAAACCCAACGCUCGACAGGCCUGAUGAGGUGUCUAGUUCCAGUUACCAGGCUGCACCACCACCGCUCAACCUCUGCUGAAAUGUUAGUUAGCUUAAUAAAUGUUGAUCAUUUCCAAAGGAAUUGCA